rnacentral:lncRNA from 1 species
UAAUGUACAGCAGAAGAAGUGAAGAACAUGUGAUUAUCAUAAAGUUUGCACGAUUUUUCAUUAUUCUUUAAUGGUAGAAAUUUGACAAAUAUGUUUUUUUUUAAUUUCUUCCAGAACUGUUGCUCUUAUGAAUUAAUUAUAUAUAAUUUUGUCCAUUAAUCAUUAUUGACAAUUAUUUAAAAUCAGAAGAAGACUUGUGUUGUUGCUGUUCAGUCAGAUCAGAAUUCAUAUGUUGUUCUUGUGAAACCCAUUUUACUUGAUUGCUUGUUUUGUCUCCUCCUUCCAGAUUCUACCAAUAUCCUCUGCAAUCCUCACAGCAUCCAUUGCUGCACCAAACAAUCCUUUUCUUGUGAACCCAAUUGCAUACAACCCUCCAUCUCCUUUCCAACCACAGGGCAAUCCAUCCUGAAACCAUCGUAUGAUCAAGAACAGUCAAAUUCAAAGUUUAACCUAAGUUGAAAUUGAAAUCGAAAGUGAGUGAAAUUACAUGUAGUAGCCAGGAAGAAACAUUGCUGCGGUAUCCAGUGGCAAGAAUGACUGAAUCAAUGGGGAGAACACAUCCAUUAACAAGCUCAGCACCACCAGGUAUGAACCUCUUGAUACCAGGCACCACUUUGAUCUCCCCAGACCUUAUCUUUUCUAAAGCACCAAUGUCUAGAACAGGAGACUUCCCUUUUUAUUCUUGAGUUGCAGUGGGCCAAUGGACGGUCGUUUUAGACCAUACUUGUUCAUCUUCCCAAGUACCAUCCAUGCUAGGAACACCAUGAUCUUAUCUACCAUCCACAGUGGUACCCAUCGCAUCAUCAUCACUGAUACCAAGAAUGUUGACUUUCCAAGUAUUUCUCUUGGUAAUACAUGAACCUGAAAUAAUGAUAUUUAGUUCAUGAAAUAAUAAUAAGUUUAAUGAGAUUGAAUCUCUAUUCUCUAGUACUUACAGAGUCACGGACAACCAUGGAGGGGAAAGCACGGUGGUGACAGAGAUCAAGGCUGAGCUCCAUGCCGGAGUUCCCAGCACCAACCAC